AAAAAUUCAAUUUCUGGGUUUCCGUGUCUAACGUUUGACCGUUUAUCUUAUUUAAAAAAAUUAUGAAAAAAUUUAAAAAGAUAAGUCAUGCAUAAAGUAUUGUUCAUGUUUUAUCAUCUAAUGAUAAUGAAAAUACUAAUCAUAAAAAAAAUUCAUAUAAAACGGACGGUCAAACGUUGAACACGAAAACC
rfam:Oryza glaberrima chromosome 12 Oglab12_unplaced162_27, whole genome shotgun sequence.